CCUACGGGAGGCAGCAGUGGGGAAUUUUGGACAAUGGGGGCAACCCUGAUCCAGCCAUUCCGCGUGAGUGAAGAAGGCCUUCGGGUUGUAAAGCUCUUUCGCAAGGGAAGAAAACUUAUGAUCGAAUAAAUCAUGAGGUUGACGGUACCUUGAUAAGAAGCACCGGCUAACUACGUGCCAGCAGCCGCGGUAAUACGUAGGGUGCGAGCGUUAAUCGGAAUUACUGGGCGUAAAGCGUGCGCAGGCGGUUUUGUAAGUCGGAUGUGAAAUCCCCGGGCUCAACCUGGGAACUGCGUUCGAAACUGCAAGGCUAGAGUGUGUCAGAGGGGGGUAGAAUUCCACGUGUAGCAGUGAAAUGCGUAGAGAUGUGGAGGAAUACCAAUGGCGAAGGCAGCCCCCUGGGAUAACACUGACGCUCAUGCACGAAAGCGUGGGGAGCAAACAGGAUUAGAUACCCUGGUAGUCCACGCCCUAAACGAUGUCAACUAGUUGUUGGUAGAGUAAAACUCUAUGAGUAACCGUAGCUAACGCGUGAAGUUGACCGCCUGGGGGAGGUACGGUCGCGAGAAGUUAAAACGUUAAAACGUUAAGUAAGUUAGUACGGCGUGAGACGUCGCCGACGGACGACGACGACGGGAGGAGG
rnacentral:rRNA from 1 species